rnacentral:rRNA from 1 species
CCUACGGGAGGCUGCAGUGGGGAAUAUUGGACAAUGGGCGAAAGCCUGAUCCAGCCAUGCCGCGUGUGUGAAGAAGGCCUUCGGGUUGUAAAGCACUUUCAGUGGGGAAGAAAGCCUUGGGGCUAAUACCCUCGAGGAAGGACAUCACCCACAGAAGAAGCACCGGCUAACUCCGUGCCAGCAGCCGCGGUAAUACGGAGGGUGCGAGCGUUAAUCGGAAUUACUGGGCGUAAAGCGCGCGUAGGCGGUCUGAUAAGCCGGUUGUGAAAGCCACGGGCUCAACCUGGGAACGGCAUCCGGAACUGUCAGGCUAGAGUGCAGGAGAGGAAGGUAGAAGUCCCGGUGUAGCGGUGAAAUGCGUAGAGAUCGGGAGGAAUACCAGUGGCGAAGGCGGCCUUCUGGACUGACACUGACGCUGAGGUGCGAAAGCGUGGGUAGCAAACAGGAUUAGAUACCCUGGUAGGC